rnacentral:rRNA from 1 species
CAGUCGCCACGGUAAUGCGUAGGUGGCAAGCGUUGUCCGGAAUUAUUGGGCGUAAAGGGCUCGCAGGCGGUUUCUUAAGUCUGAUGUGAAAGCCCCCGGCUCAACCGGGGAGGGUCAUUGGAAACUGGGAAACUUGAGUGCAGAAGAGGAGAGUGGAAUUCCACGUGUAGCGGUGAAAUGCGUAGAGAUGUGGAGGAACACCAGUGGCGAAGGCGACUCUCUGGUCUGUAACUGACGCUGAGGAGCGAAAGCGUGGGGAGCGAACAGGAUUAGAUACCCCAGUAGUCCCUGUCUCUUAUAC